GAUCGUUUAGGUCCGUGUUGUUUUUUUAGUUGUUUUCAUAUAUCAUAUGUGAGUUAGAUCUUGAAUUAGAUAUUUUCAGUGGAAAGUAUUAGUUAAUGAAGAGUUUUUUAAUUAGUAAUGAAUUAAAGAGGCGGAAAAUGGCGUGCCAGCAGCCGCGGUUAUACGUAAGUCUCAAAUUAAAAGAAUUUUAUGAAGCUUUAAUUUAGUUGAAAGGUGAAUUAUUUUGAAAAAUUUUUAUAGGUAGAAUUUUAAGUUUUUGUAAAUGAUUAAGGUGACUAAUUUUAUAAAUUAUUUUAAAAACCAGGAUUAGAUACCCUGUUAUUGAUUUUUAUAGAGUUUUAGAUUAGUAAAUUUUUGGAAAUUUAACGGAUUUGGCGGCAAAAUAGCCCUUCUAGAGGAACCUGCCCUGUGAACGACGGUCCACGAUUAACCUUACUUUUAUUAGUAAUCAGUUUGUAUAUCGCUGUUGUCAGUUAGUUUUUUUAGAAAAUUUUCUUAAAUGGGAAAACCAUUAACUUCAAGUAAAGGUGCAGCUUAUGUAAAAGAGAGAGGUGGGUUACAAUUAAUUGGAUUAAUUAUACGGAUGUUGAGUUGAAAAUUUGGCUUAAGGUGGAUUUAGGAGUAAAUUUAUUUAAGAUUUGAUAUGAGCACUGUUUUGUGUACACACCGCCCGUCGCUCUCCCUGUAAGGAGAUAAGUCGUAACAAGGUAAGUGUAAUGGAAAUUGUACUUGUGGAGAU
rnacentral:ncRNA from 1 species